UACGAAGGGGGGCUAGCGUUGCUCGGAAUCACUGGGCGUAAAGCGCACGUAGGCGGCUUCUUAAGUCAGGGGUGAAAUCCUGGAGCUCAACUCCAGAACUGCCUUUGAUACUGGGAGGCUCGAGUCCGGGAGAGGUGAGUGGAACUGCGAGUGUAGAGGUGAAAUUCGUAGAUAUUCGCAAGAACACCAGUGGCGAAGGCGGCUCACUGGCCCGGUACUGACGCUGAGGUGCGAAAGCGUGGGGAGCAAACAGG
rnacentral:rRNA from 1 species